AAAAUUUUAGUUUAAGUAAAAAACUUUUCUUUUACACUGAAGUGAUUAAAUUAAUUUUUAAAAUUUUA
rnacentral:tRNA from 1 species